rnacentral:rRNA from 2 species
AGACCCGAAACCCGGUGAUCUAGCCAUGGGCAGGUUGAAGGUUGGGUAACACUAACUGGAGGACCGAACCGACUAAUGUUGAAAAAUUAGCGGAUGACUUGUGGCUGGGGGUGAAAGGCCAAUCAAACCGGGAGAUAGCUGGUUCUCCCCGAAAGCUAUUUAGGUAGCGCCUCGUGAAUUCAUCUCCGGGGGUAGAGCACUGUUUCGGCAAGGGGGUCAUCCCGACUUACCAACCCGAUGCAAACUGCGAAUACCGGAGAAUGUUAUCACGGGAGACACACGGCGGGUGCUAACGUCCGUCGUGAAGAGGGAAACAACCCAGACCGCCAGCUAAGGUCCCAAAGUCAUGGUUAAGUGGGAAACGAUGUGGGAAGGCCCAGACAGCCAGGAUGUUGGCUUAGAAGCAGCCAUCAUUUAAAGAAAGCGUAAUAGCUCACUGGUCGAGUCGGCCUGCGCGGAAGAUG